CAAAUGACUCUCAAAAAUGGAUAUCUCGGCUCUAGCAUCGAUGAAGAAUGUAGCAAAAUGCAAUACUUGGCGUGAAUUGCAAAAUCUCAUGAACCAUUGAGUUUUUGAACGCAAGUUACGCCCUAAGCCGUCAGGCCGAGGGCACGUGUGCCUGAGCG
rnacentral:rRNA from 1 species